GCAAGUCGAACGGUAACAGGAAUUAGCUUGCUAAUUUGCUGACGACCGGCGCACGGGUGAGUAACACGUAUGCAACCUACCUUUUACAAGGGGAUAGCCCAGAGAAAUUUGGAUUAAUACCCCAUAGUAUUGUUUUUUCACAUGAGAAGACACUUAAAGCUCCGGCGGUAAAAGAUGGGCAUGCGUUCUAUUAGCUAGUUGGUGAGGUAACGGCUCACCAAGGCUACGAUAGAUAGGGGUUCUGAGAGGAUAAUC
rnacentral:rRNA from 1 species